GAUGAACGCUGGCGGCGUGCCUAACACAUGCAAGUCGAGCGAUUCUCUUCGGAGAAGAGCGGCGGACGGGUGAGUAACGCGUGGGUAACCUGCCCUGUACACACGGAUAACAUACCGAAAGGUAUGCUAAUACGAGAUAAUAUGCUUUUAUCGCAUGGUAGAAGUAUCAAAGCUUUUGCGGUACAGGAUGGACCCGCGUCUGAUUAGCUAGUUGGUAAGGUAACGGCUUACUAAGGCGACGAUCAGUAGCCGACCUGAGAGGGUGAUCGGCCACAUUGGAACUGAGACACGGUCCAAACUCCUACGGGAGGCAGCAGUGGGGAAUAUUGCACAAUGGGCGAAAGCCUGAUGCAGCAACGCCGCGUGAGCGAUGAAGGCCUUCGGGUCGUAAAGCUCUGUCCUCAAGGAAGAUAAUGACGGUACUUGAGGAGGAAGCCCCGGCUAACUACGUGCCAGCCGCCGCCGUAAGAC
rnacentral:rRNA from 1 species